AUGUUCUUCACACAGAUUUUAUACAAUCUAUAUUGAUAGUUAGUGUUUAAACGCCGCAUUAACAUGAUAAUUAAUCAGCUAUCAUUCAUUAACUCUCUUAAACUUGUCUGUGUGAAUGUUUCAUAGCAUUAUCUUGUACCCUCAUCUGAUAUUUUACACCUUGUUACCCUCAAAGUUAACAUAACUUUUACAUGGGUACACAACCACAUCCCUACGAAAUGGUUUUUACAGCUGUAUGCCCUUCCCACAAUUAUAAAGUGUUGAUUAUCAAUAACUAUAAUGAAAUUAUACUAUAAAACUUGAAAAUAUUCAUUUCAAAGACUCCAACUUCUGUGAAGGAUGCCUUGACAACAUCACAGCCAGUUGAGAGUCCAGUUCUGAAGGAGAGGAUCUUCUGAGAGUGGCUAAGAGGUUAGGAAGUGAUUGGUGGCAAGUGGCUAUUUUUUAGGAGUUGAUACAACUGAACUGAAAAUUGAUGAUGAGUCUAUUGACACUGUAAAACAAGGCUACCUGAUGCUUCGCGAAUGGUUCAAAAAUUGCGACCCAGAAACACGGACACACGCAACAUUAAGUGCAGCUCUUGAAGAAGCUGAAUGUUUCACUGCGAUGGAAUGUCUGUCAUUAGACGCAAAGUGAAUUUCCAUGUAACUGUUGUUGUUUAGCUUCAGAUUAACCUUGACCAAACAGAGUCUUUUGAUCAAACGCAUUCCAGCCAGGACCAUCAUGCCUAUUUCCAAAGAGAACCCCAACCAUCUCGUCCAAUAUGCCCUUCUGUACAGUGAUAUCGUGUGAAUUUAGCUGCUAAUUCUAGCAGGUAUAUCAACCACAUUGUGAUCCCAUCACUGGUUUUGCUCCUUUGUUAAAAAUUCACUUUUAAAAUAAAGACAAACUUUGAAAUGUUCA